rnacentral:tRNA from 1 species
GCCGAGGUGGCGGAAUUGGUAGACGCGCAUGAUUCAGGUUCAUGUGGGCUUAACGCCUGUGGGGGUUCGAGUCCCCCCCUCGGCA